GCCAGUGUGAUAUAGUGGUUUGAAUAUUGGACUGUGACUCUGGAGAUCAGGAUUCGAAUCCCUGCUGAGCUA